ACAGUAGUGCAAAUGCCCGCGAAAACUGACCAAUGAAAAGGAAGAUUUCUUUUCAAGUUUUUUUCGUUUGUUGGGAGUGGCAGAUAACGGAGGAAUGACUCAACAAAAAGGUUAGUAUUACUUCUGUAAUUAUUUUAUGUAAAACUCAGAUAUUUUCAAAUGCAUUAACUUGUUAACAACCAAACAUGAAUUAGUGGGGCAAUUUGGGUGAGAAUAGCAAUAUUACGCGGUUACAAGCCUUUUUCCCCUCAGAACCCCUCCCCCACCCUAAAGUCAGUGAAAGCAUUCCAAUAAAGUCACAUUUAAGCGCGUAUAUGGUGGAUUUACAUGUUAUUGAUUGAAUAUCAUAUCUAUUUUUUGUUUUUAUUAAAAAAUUUCUGUUAGAACUGUGCCAUUUGGAAUGUUGGAGGUGUCCGAGGAGCCUUUUUCUGGCAUUUAACGUAACGUAACUGUUAGCUGUUAGAUCUGUGCCAUUUGGGACGUCGGAUGAGCCUUUUUCUGGUCGUUACAGUCAAAACUGGUACCUAAGACUGUAAAGAAGAUAUUUUGAAGAAAGUUGGUAACCAAACAGCAUUGGACCCCACUCACUUCUAUUGUAUAGACACAAAACUAUUUGCAAGUGAAAGGCGUCCGGUUAACAGCAUUUUUCAAAAUAUCUUCUUUUGUGUUCUGUGGAAGGCAGAAAGUCAUUCAGGUGUGAAAUGACAAGAGGCCUGUUAAUUGCUGUACUUUUAGGUGACUGCAAUUCCAUCAGAUGUAGAGGGAUCCCUCUCUGUGCCCAGCACCCCAAGACUGAUCGCACUUGGAGAUUCUGUUUCCCGUGCCAAAAAAUGGAUGCUGACAAUGGAGAGCAGAGUCAUCAUAGAGCCACAAAAGCUAACAGAUUUUCAAUGUGCAAUACCAGGAAGCGGCCACCAAUACACUGGACUUCAUUCAGAGGUUCAUUCUGAGAAAACACCCUGAUAGCACCAAAUGCCAAUCAAAAUCACAUAUUAGCCAGACACAGAAGAAAAAUCACCAGCCUGAAUCCUUGUGGCAUCUUUUAUCAACGAGCUUGUUGAGUAAUGAAAUUAAGCACUACUGACGAUAACACUACAAACAAAACAAACAUGUUUUUUUUUGCUGUUUGAUUUGAGUUCUGUGACCUAUGCUGUCCAAACUGCAUACUGCGACAGUAUGUACUGAUUUAAAUUAAGUACCUACCUAUCUACCAUUAAAACAGUAUGUUCUAAAUAGUUUUUGUGGGAGUAGUAUUAUUACAUUUCGGACAUACUGCAUCAGGCAUGUUUAUUGUCAUUUGACCCGUAUGCUCUUUGACCCGUAUGCCUAUGACAUUUUAACAACAACCUGUAGAUAGGCAUUGGUAAAAACAUUAAGUGGUUUGUAUGUAUUUAACUCUGUUUCCUUCCUUUUUUUGUCAGUUGUCAAUGCUUGUUUUGUUGUUUUGUUCCCUGGUUUUCUGAGUAUUUUUAGAUGAAAUUCUGUUUAAAAUAAAACUUUAACUGCUGUGAGUAUACCUGUUUCUUCAACUUUAUUGCAACUUGUGAAUU